CCUAUAGUAAUAAUAAAAAGCUUCAAAACAUGCUGAAAAUGUUUUAGAACAUGGUAGCUUCAAAGACGUUUGUUAAAAGGAUAGGCUGGUCUGCAUGGUGGCUGUUUUACUGCUUUUCUAAACUUGGGUGAACCCCUGGAGGAGAAGCCCCAAACAGGGUAGUUCCACCAGCCCAGGAUGCAGCAAGGUGGACAAAUCACAGGUCUGCUGGAGACAAGUGGUCAAGAGAGCAUGGGUCACUGCUGAGCAGAGCCGGGGUCAGGCAGGUUGAAGGAAAGGCACAAGCAAAGGACACCUCUCUGUCUGCCAUAAUGCCAAGGUCAUGCUUCUGCUGCCUGGAACUUACUUUCUGUCAGGCAGGAGAGACUCAUAUUUCUUCUCUUUAAGACAGGACGGGGGAGGAGCCAAGAUGACCGAAUAGGAACAGCUUCGGUCCACAGCUCCCAGCGUGAGCGAUGCAGAAGACGGGUGAUUUCUGCAUUUCCAACUGAGGGACAUGGAUGAAACUGGAAACCAUCAUUCUCAGCAAACUAUUGCAAGGACAGAAAACCGAACACCCCAUGUUCUCACUCAUAGGUGGGAAUUGAACAAUGAGAACACAUGGACACAGGAAGGGGAACAUCACACACCGGGGACUGUUGUGGGGUGUGGGGAGGGGGGAGGGAUAGCAUUAGGAUAUAUACCUAAUGCUAAGUGACGAGUUAAUGGGUACAGCACACCAACAUGGCACAUGUGUAUAUAUGUAACAAACCUGCAUGUUGUGCACAUGUACCCUAAAACUUAAAGUAUAAUAAUUAAAAAAAAAAAAAGACAGGACGAUAAUACACAUUUGGUGAUACAAUUAAGAAACAUGAUAUUGGAAAGUUGCUGACCAAGUGCCACCUAGCAUUCCUUCUCUUGUACUAGCCACAUGCCCACUCCUCAUGGCUACUGCUAGCCUCAUCUAAGAACUGGGGACCCAGCCUGGCAGGAUAAGUGUGGCUCCAUGCUUUAAGCCAGAGAAUUUAGGAGACUAUGAUCUGUUGCUGUGUCAAUCUGAAAGCUGAGGGAUCUGAAGGGUACGUGGUACCCAUUCUCUGACUCUCACUCCCAAAAGUCCUUUUCUCCCUGGGUCAACAUACGGUUGGUGCCCAAGGCCCUUCCUAGGAAUUGGAAGCCAACAGUGACACAAAGCACUUAGGAGGCACACAACCACAAAUGUGUGAGGUUUGCCUUCCCAUAUUUUCUGGACCCAUGUUCAAGCCUGGAACUCUCUAGUUCAUAAAGGGUUUUACUCUUGCAGGAGUCAGCAAACUAUGGCCUGUGGGUGGAGGGCCAGAUGGGGCCAUGCUCAUUCAUUUACAUACUGUCUAAUGGUUGCUCAAAAAUCACAGAGUUGAGUAACUAAGACAGACUGGAAGGCCCACACAGGCAAAAAAUGUACUAUCCGGACAUCCACAUAAACAGUUUGCAGGCCACUGAUUUAGAGUAAGACCAGUUCUCCUGGGGGCAAUGGAUUGUCUUUCUUUGCUUUCAGCCUGACCAAUGCCCGUGGGUAGGGAUGGAGAGGGAGCCCAUCUCUCUAGUUGAUUCUGAUGAGAAGAACCAGGGUGACCCACCUGGAAUGUGAGCCUCUGAUCUUCCAGGCAUCUGGCAUGCCCAUUUCUUCCACAGAGCAGGAUAGAAGCUCCUCCCAGCAGGGGGUCUUGACUAUUUGAGACCACUGUAAAAGAAAAGUAAGAACAAGUGAUUCACGUUUGUGUUUCCUGUAAAAAGAACAUGGUUGUCAGUGCUAUUAACCUGGUUACCACUGACUUUGACGCAGAUACAGCCGGUUCAUGUUUCAGAACUUCAUGAAACAGGCCUGUGCCUUCAAUCAGAGGCAGCCCAAAAGACAAAAUUGCCAACACUUUCUAUUUGCAGUGGCCCAGGAAUUAUCAAAUAACCUUAGUUCCUAUUAAACUCCUGCCUAUUUACCAUUGCCUAAACCUGGAGGCAAAAUCUAAAUCCAAACCAUCACAGGUAAUCUCCAAUCUCACAUACUUUUCCAAAAGAUUCAUGUGUUAGGAAAGGAUGAUUGAUGGCUCAAAAGUCACCAG
rnacentral:lncRNA from 1 species